UGGCCGAUAUGCUAACUACCCAGUGGACCGGCUGCCUCGCUGUCGGUGGAAAGAAAGAAAGGUUUUAGUCAAUAAACCUUUCAAAGAAGCAAUUCUGAGAAUUUCGUCCAGGCUGUCCAUUUACACCGCAUAGGGAAGGCAUACAAGCUGAGCAAGUGGGUACCCCACUCAUUGUCCGAUGCAAACAAGCAACAGCGUGUCACUGCCUGUGUGUCACUGUUUACUCGGCACCGCAAUGCAUCCAUAUUUGAUCGAGCACUCAACAGCCACGAAACGUACGUUCCCUAUUCACAACCAGGCGUUUCAGACAUUGGCUGUCACCACGAGACACUGUGCCUCACACUGCGAGACCUUCUCUCCACCCACGCAAGGUCAUGCUCUGUAGCUGGUGGACUAAUAGCCAAGUUGUGCACUAUGAGCUCCUUGAGAGCUAAUUUUUUAAAAACUACUAGUGCUAUUUUUACAGAACUUUUUAGUUUGGCAUAAUUUGAGUCGUAGAAUCGAAAUACUGAAAAAAAUUGGUAUGUCAUUUCAUAAGAAGUCCGAUUUUGUGUCAAAAUACCUAUAUUCGAACAUUUGCUAUAUACACUGGUGAAAGAAAUUAAGAGAAUUUCAAUAUC